UGGGGAAUCUUGGACAAUGGGGGCAACCCUGAUCCAGCCAUGCCGCGUGAGUGAUGAAGGCCUUAGGGUCGUAAAGCUCUUUCGCCUGUGAAGAUAAUGACGGUAGCAGGUAAAGAAACCCCGGCUAACUCCGUGCCAGCAGCCGCGGUAAUACGGAGGGGGUUAGCGUUGUUCGGAAUUACUGGGCGUAAAGCGCACGUAGGCGGACCAGAAAGUUGGGGGUGAAAUCCCGGGGGCUCAACCCCGGAACUGCCUCCAAAACUAUUGGUCUAGAGUUCGAGAGAGGUGAGUGGAAUUCCAAGUGUAGAGGUGAAAUUCGUAGAUAUUUGGGAGGAACACCAGUGGCGAAGGCGGCUCACUGGCUCGAUACUGACGCUGAGGUGCGAAAGUGUGGGGAGCAAACAGGAUUAGAUACCCUGGUAGUCCACACCGUAAAACGAUGAAUGCCAGUCGUCGGGUAGCAUGCUAUUCGGUGACACACCUAACGGAUUAAGCAUUCC
rnacentral:rRNA from 1 species